rfam:Biomphalaria glabrata isolate BB02 unplaced genomic scaffold LGTN_random_Scaffold1808, whole genome shotgun sequence.
GCAGUUCUGGCUGAGUGGUACAGCGCUUGGCUUCCAAACCGGGGGUCUCAGGUUAGAAUCCUGAUGAAGGCU